rnacentral:rRNA from 1 species
ACCGACCUUCGGGGAGCUUGCACAGGUGCUGCAUGGCUGUCGUCAGCUCGUGUCGUGAGAUGUCGGUUAAGUCCGCUAACGAGCCGCAACCCUUGUCUUUAGUUGCCAUCAUUCAGUUGGGCACUCUAAAGAGACUGCCGGUAGUCAAACCGGAGGAAGGUGGGGAUGACGUCAAGUCCUCAUGGCCUUUAUGACCAGGGCUACACACGUACUACAAUGGCCGGUACAAAGGGCAGCCACUUAGCGAUAAGGAGCCAAUCCCGUAAAGCCGGUCUCAGUCCGGAUUGGAGUCUGCAACUCGACUCCAUGAAGUUGGAAUCGCUAGUAAUCGCAGAUCAGCACGCUGCGGUGAAUACGGUUCCCGGGCCUU